rnacentral:rRNA from 1 species
GGGUUGUGAGGUUAAGCGACUAAGCGUACACGGUGGAUGCCCUGGCAGUCAGAGGCGAUGAAGGACGUGCUAAUCUGCGAUAAGCGUCGGUAAGGUGAUAUGAACCGUUAUAACCGGCGAUUUCCGAAUGGGGAAACCCAGUGUGAUUCGUCACACUAUCGUUAAGUGAAUACAUAGCUUAACGAAGCGAACCGGGGGAACUGAAA